CAACCAUUUCUGAAGAUUCUUCAUUGACAUGACCCCUUCAUACUAAGAGGGCUGAUGCUUUUGUAGCCACUAGCAACUCAUCCUAAAACAGAAUUGGCAAAAUAAAUUCCAAGAGUAUUGUAAGAAAGGAUUGGUUUCUUUUGGCUUUACUUUUGAAAGGAAUUAAUUACCACUGUAAAGAUUAUCUUCAUGUUUAUUACUACACUCACUUCAGCAUUUACAUUUAAUAGUUACUGAUCCUUUCCAGAGUACCUACACAUUGAAACACUGAAUGCCCUUCACUGACCUUGUAGGCACUGUCCUCUUCAGUGCUUGCAUGAGUAGGCUGCUGAAGGAAGCGUUGAUGCUCAGGUCUCCCUGCUUCUUGUUCCUGCCAUGCUGCUGGAGGGCAGUUGGAAGUCCCUAGAGACACGGCUGCACCUUUCAGUUGCCUCAGUGUCCUUCCUGGUUUCUUUCCUAGCCUUGAAUUUGAGUGUGGGUGUAUCUGUGUACAUGAGAGAGAAUGAAUGCCGGUGUGUGAGCAGGUGCAUGUGGGAGCUGGUGUGGGGUGUGCGUGCAUACUUCUGGGUCUGUGUGUUGGAUGAAUUACUAAAAGGCAGAUGAGGUCCCUUUCUGUGCUUGGAUCACAGGCAAUUUUGCUAGUGUUUUAAAAGCAUCUUUUUCAUAUUAUAAAAGUAACACAUGCUUAUUAAAAAUUGUGAAAACAAAGAGUAAUGUAAAAUAUAAAACAAAAAAAAAAGUGACCAAUAAUCCUAUUUUCCUGAGAAAAAAUAUCACUAACAUUUUAGUGUAUCUCCCUACAGACUUUUUUGUACACACAAGCACACACAUACACAGAGCUUUGUACACAAUUGAGAUCACAGCGCCCCAAAGCUAAAUUAUUUUUAUAGAUGUUCAUUGUUUAAAAACAUGAGACUAAGUCAUAUCAGUAAGCAAAAUAAGAAAAAUAAAAACCACCUAUAAUUUCACCACCCAGAGUAACUACUUAAAAUUUUUAAAUGUAAAUUAAAAUAUAUGUAAUGAAUGCUUCAUUGUACAAAAACGGUGUAAUUCCCAUGUCUGUUGUUCUGAACCCACUUUUUGACCUGUUUUUGAAAUUAAAGAUCUCUGAUACCA